rnacentral:tRNA from 1 species
GCGGGGAUGCCGGAGCGGUCAAACGGGACAGGCUUAGGACCUGUUGGCUUAGUGCCUUCGCAGGUUCGAAUCCUGCUCUCCGCA